UACGUAGGUGACAAGCGUUGUCCGGAUUUACUGGGCGUAAAGAGCGCGCAGGCGGUCGUUCAAGUCGAGUGUGAAAUCUCCCUGCUCAACGGGGAGGGUGCACUUUAGACUGAGGAGCUAGAGGACGGUAGAGGGGGGUGGAAUUGCUGGUGUAGCGGUGAAAUGCGUAGAGAUCAGCAGGAACACCCGUGGCGAAGGCGGCCCCCUGGGCCGUACCUGACGCUGAGGCGCGAAGGCUAGGGGAGCGAACGGG
rnacentral:rRNA from 1 species